GACGAACGCUGGCGGCGUGCUUAACACAUGCAAGUCGAACGGUGAAGCGCCUUCCUUUUUGGUGGGUGUGGAUGAGUGGCGAACGGGUGAGUAACACGUGAGUAACCUGCCCCCUUCUUCUGGAUAACCGCAUGAAAGUGUGGCUAAUACGGGAUAUUCUGGGUCUGUCGCAUGAUGGGUCUGGGAAAGAUAUUGUUUCGGUGGGGGAUGGGCUCGCGGCCUAUCAGCUUGUUGGUGGGGUGAUGGCCUACCAAGGCGGUGACGGGUAGCCGGCCUGAGAGGGUGGACGGUCACACCGGGACUGAGACACGGCCCAGACUCCUACGGGAGGCAGCAGUGGGGAAUAUUGCGCAAUGGGCGCAAGCCUGAUGCAGCGACGCCGCGUGAGGGAUGGAGGCCUUCGGGUUGUGAACCUCUUUCGCCAGUGAAGCAGGCCUGCCUCGUUUGUGGGUGGGUUGACGGUAGCUGGAUAAGAAGCGCCGGCUAACUACGUG
rnacentral:rRNA from 1 species